rnacentral:rRNA from 1 species
UGCCAGCCGCCGCGGUAAUACGGGGGGUGCAAGCGUUGUUCGGAAUCACUGGGCGUAAAGCGCACGUAGGCGGCCUGUCGUGUCGGUUGUGAAAGCCCUCGGCUCAACCGAGGAAGUGCAUUCGAGACUGGCAGGCUUGAGUUCGGUAGAGGAGAGUGGAAUUCCGGGUGUAGAGGUGAAAUUCGUAGAUAUCCGGAGGAACACCAGUGGCGAAAGCGACUCUCUGGGCCGACACUGACGCUGAGGUGCGAAAGCGUGGGGAGCAAACGGGAUUAGAUA